rnacentral:lncRNA from 1 species
UGGAAGUCAAACAUCAGUCGUAAACACGCUAUGGUAUAGCCUUGUAUUUCUAUUACCUUGAAAAAACGUUGGUAUUCUUGCAUCUUUAAAAAAACAUCUCCUCAGUAUUGUAGUAAUCGUCAACAAAGUAACUUCCCCUUACUGCUCUGUCACGUGUAUAAUGCCGAAAAAAACGUGCCUUUUUUCAUGGGUCUCUAACUACAUAGCGGUUUCUUGUGCCCAUCUCGUUAUUAAUGGCCAGUAAUCCACCACUUCAAAGCCUCUCAUCACAUCAAAAACUUAAACCUCCUCAAGAAGCUCAAGAUUCGUGGAGACGAAGGAAAAUUAAACGGCACAUCAAUCAAUUUGGACGUAACAAAGUUAUUUGUGUCGUGUAACAUCCCUCUAAAUGUCCUAGACCAUCCCAAUUUCUCCAAGUUCAUUGAAAAAUAUUCCGGAAAAAUAUUCCAGGUCGAUGGAUCGUUAACAAUUUGUCGAGAUGUAUGUCAAGAAGUUUUGAAUAGAAUAGAAUAAGAGGUGGGAAAAAGGAUAUAGAUGAGACAAGAGAUCAUCAAGUGAGGUCAAUGAUGGCAAUUUUGAUUGGCCCUUUGGACGGAUAUUUCUGUGGAAGACCUUACCUUAUUGACUUGAUUGAUAUUGAGAUUGCAAACGCAAACAAUGUAAAGGACAUCCCCAUAAGCUCAGUUUAUAAGUUAUUGGGAAAGAUUUUGUCCCGUAUAGACUUAAAGUUUUCAUCACGGAUGCCGCCUCGUAUUGUCUCAAAGCAGGAGAAGAUCUCUGAAAAAAAUUCCUGGAAUUGAUACACAUUACAUGUGUUGCUUAUGGAUUACAAAGGGUUGUAGAUAUGGUUCAACAAAAGUUUCCUCUAACGAACAAACUUAUUUGAAAUGUGAAGAUGUUUUUGAAUUUUGGAAGAAGAAAGCGAGUAUUUAUUGCUUCAUACGAAAUUCCCUUCCCUCCAAUCACCAAUUAUAACAAGAAAGGAACUUGGUUACCUAUUUUCUUUGCAGUAUAAUAUAAUUUUAAUUGUAUUUCCCUAUACUUCCAGAGUCCGGUCAAUUUGAUCUCCUUAUUAGACUCAUCCUUGAAUGUUCUUUCAAAUAGGAGUUCGGCCACUACCAUUGCGUCAUUUCUUAAUAUGAUACUUAACUUUUUCCUAGCGAAGUAUAAGUAUUUCGACCAUAUUUAACACUAUUUCUACCUUAGACUUCAAUUGGCAUAACAGAUUUGUCUUUAUAUAAAUGGUUUUACGCACCCAGUUAACGAAUGAACAUCUACAGCCUUAUGCAAAUUAAUUAUAGGUUGCAUAUAAUUUACUCACAUGUUAUUUACAAUUUUUUAUAUCAACAUUGUAUAUUGAUAUUCGUAACCUAAUUUUAUAUUAUGACAAUUAAUGCUAUUUGUAUCAUACAAUAAAUUAUAAGUAA